AGGUGGGCCCAAUGUACUCACUGGGUCUUUAGAAAGGAAAGAGGCUGUGGGAGAGUCAGAGAUAGAGACAUCGUGAUGGAAGUAAAGGUCGGAGUGAGGUGCUGGCUGGUUUUGAAGCUGGAGGAAGAGGCCAUUUGACAAGAAAUCUGGGCAGCCUCUAGAAACUGGAAAAAGCAAGAAAGCAGAUUCUCCUCUAGAGCUUCCAGAAGGGAAGACAGGCGGGAAGACAUCAUGGUUUUAGCCCAACGAGAUCCAACUGGACUUCUGACCUCCAGAACUGCCAUUUGAACAAGGAAUAAAGAACAGAGCCAUCUUUGCUUCAUGGAAGAUCAGUUAUCUUAGAGAAGUGUACUAUGAACGAAUCCCAGCCAGGAUACCACAUUACAUGUCGUUACCGUCUCUCCUCAGACUGCUGUUGGUGGUGGCAGUUUCUCAGACUUUGUUUGUUCCUAAUGACCUUAAAAGUUUUGAAGGGUACUGGUCAGGUAUUUUGUCAGAUGCCUCCAUACUGGGAUUUGUCCGGUGUUUUUAUCAAGGGCAGGCGGACAGGCUGGAGACCCAGGGAAGAGCUGAUGUCGCAGCCCAAGUCUGAACACAGUCUGGAAGCUGAAUCUCCUCUUGCUAGCACCUCUUUCUCUUUUCACAUAAGACUUUCAACUGAUGGCAGAGACCCAACCACAUUAUGGAAGGGGCUGGCCCCGUGGCCGAGUGGUUACGUUCGCGCGCUCCGCUGCAGGCGGCCCAGUGUUUCGUCGGUUCGAAUCCUGGGCGCGGACAUGGCACUGCUCGUCAGACCACGCU
rnacentral:lncRNA from 1 species